GAUGAACGCUGGCGGCGUGCCUAAUACAUGCAAGUCGAGCGAACGGACGAGAAGCUUGCUUUUCUGAUGUUAGCGGCGGACGGGUGAGUAACACGUGGAUAACCUACCUAUAAGACUGGGAUAACUUCGGGAAACCGGAGCUAAUACCGGAUAAUAUAUUGAACCGCAUGGUUCAAUAGUGAAAGACGGUUUUGCUAUCACUUAUAGAUGGAUCCGCGCCGCAUUAGCUAGUUGGUAAGGUAACGGCUUACCAAGGCAACGAUGCGUAGCCGACCUGAGAGGGUGAUCGGCCACACUGGAACUGAGACACGGUCCAGACUCCUACGGGAGGCAGCAGUAGGGAAUCUUCCGCAAUGGGCGAAAGCCUGACGGAGCAACGCCGCGUGAGUGAUGAAGGUCUUCGGAUCGUAAAACUCUGUUAUUAGGGAAGAACAAAUGUGUAAGUAACUAUGCACGUCUUGACGGUACCUAAUCAGAAAGCCACGGCUAACUACGUG
rnacentral:rRNA from 1 species